rnacentral:rRNA from 1 species
CGUUUAGGGGUAAACCUGAGAAACCCGAAAGGUCGAAGGAAGAAAUUCAGUUGUUGCGCUCGGAGUUGAACGCGUGCACUUUUCUUCUGGUAGGACGUCGCGAUCCGUUGGGUGUCGGUCUAGCCCGUUUGUCGAUCGGACCCCGGCUGACUCGCUCGACGGUAGGGCCGCUCAGCGUUCGGCUCGCAGCAAGCGCGUCAGAUGUCGGUCGGACCUAGUGCCGACCCUGACCUCUGAUGACUGUUGGCUGUCGAACAGACCCUAUCUGCGACGCUAUAGCUUUGGGUACUUUCAGG